AUUCUGUAAACUCGAAAUCAUCAGUUAAAGAUAAAACAAAAGUUUUCUUCCAAGCUGAGGUAUUUCUGAAUUAAAAACAAAAAAGCAUUUAAAAAAAAAAUUAUCCAGUUCCAAGAAAAAGAAUGUGAAUACACAAAGGGAAAGGAGCAUAAAGUUGAAACAGGCUUUGUUGCGGGUCACGAUAAAAAAUGCAAUUUUCUGUUUAAACAAAAAAUAAAAACUUACUCCCGCGAUAUUGAGUUUCUAUAUUGGGAUGAAAUGAAGUUGAUUAUAAAAACUUAGCCAAUUCCGAGUAAAUCGUUUAAGAGUGAGGAUCUGCAACGAGAUACCAACUCAAAAAUGAAUCAGCUCAUUAAUCGUGUAGAACAUAUCCAGGUUAAAUAAAUUAGACUCAAGCUGGAAUAUGGUAGGGUAAAGGCUAAAGAAAACCCAAGAUAGAUGCAAAGUCAGGAUCUUACUUCGCCUGGACGCUAGAAUUAAAAAAAUUUUAAAAAUUAUCUAAGGUUGUUGUGAGUGACGAUGUUAAUGAUUUAGACUUUAUUCAUUCUACUUAAAUUACGGACGAAGAGAAGGAAAAAACCCA